rnacentral:snRNA from 13 species
UUACUCACCUGGCAAGGGAGACACCGUAAUCAAGAAGGUGACUUUCCCAGGUUGGGACUUCCUUAACACUCUGAAUGUGCUAACACCUCUGAUUUCCCCAGGUGAAGAAAACUUCUGCUAU